rnacentral:rRNA from 1 species
UCGAGGGGCAGCACAAAAGUAGUUUACAUUUUGGUGGCGACCGGCGCACGGGUGCGUAACGCGUAUGCAACCUACCUUAUACUGGGGAAUAGCCCGAAGAAAUUCGGAUUAAUGCCCCAUAGUACUGAUGGCUCUCCUGAGUUGUUAGUUAAAGCUUCGGCGGUAUAAGAUGGGCAUGCGUCCUAUUAGCUAGUUGGUAAGGUAACGGCUUACCAAGGCUACGAUAGGUAGGGGGCCUGAGAGGGUGAUCCCCCACACUGGUACUGAGACACGGACCAGACUCC